UUGGGGAGGGUUUAAAAGGAUUCGCGGAGGAUUCGGCGCCGAUUUUGGGGCAAUUUCAGGCGAUUUUGGGGGUCGUUUUCGCCUCACCCGCCGCUCUUUUUGUCCCCUCACGGCUCCCGUAGCGCCUCAAAAUGGCGGCUCCUCCCUCCCCUCACAACUCCGUACAAAAUGGCGGCGCCCACAGCAUCACGUGACCCUCCCAAAAUGGCGCCCUCCAUGUGUAUUCCCACUCGAUAAACCGGGGGCUGUGUGACGUCACUUCCGGACUCUCCCAAGAUGGCGGCGCGCAGGAUCCUCUGGCUCGCCGAGCGUCGCGCGCGCGGGACACGCCCCUUGCCCCGCCCCCCGCAGCGGCUCGGCCAAUGGAGAGAGGAGCAGGGCCUCCCCCCGAGCCCUUCGGGGCCGGGACCCCUUCGGGACCUCCCGGAUUGGAGCUUCAGUGGUGAGGAAUUUUGGGGCAAAAUCGGGGGAUUUUGGGAAAUUUGGGGAAAUUUUGGGG